AUUGCACGCUGGCGGCAGGCCUAACACAUGCAAGUCGAACGAGUGGCGGACGGGUGUGUAAUGUCUGGGAAACUGCCUGAUGGAGGGGGAUAACUACUGGAAACGGUAGCUAAUCACGCAUACUAUCGGAUGUGCCCAGAUGGGCUUAGCUAGUAGGUGGGGUAAAGGCUCACCUAGGCGACGAGCCCUAGCUGGUCGGAGGGGAUGACCAGCCACACUGGAACUGAGACACGGUCCAGACUCCUACGGGAGGCAGCAGUGGGGAAUAGUGCACAAUGGGCGCAAGCCUGAUGCAGCCAUGCCGCGUGUAUGAAGAAGGCCUUCGGGUUGUAAAGCACUUUCAGCGAGGAGGCGUUACUCGCAGAAGAAGCACCGGCUAACUCCGUGCCAGCAGCCGCGGUAAUUC
rnacentral:rRNA from 1 species